rnacentral:rRNA from 1 species
UACGGGGGGGGCGAGCGUUGUUCGGAAUUACUGGGCGUAAAGGGUUUGUAGGUGGCCUGCUAAGUCAGACGUGAAAUCCCUCAGCUUAACUGGGGAACUGCGUCUGAUACUGGCGGGCUUGAGGACAGGAGAGGAACGCGGAAUUCCAGGUGUAGCGGUGAAAUGCGUAGAUAUCGAGAGGAACACCUGCGGCGAAGGCGGGUUGCUGGGCUGACACUGACGCUGAGGCGCGAAAGCUAGGGGAGCGAACGGG